rnacentral:tmRNA from 1 species
GGGGGCGUCACGGUUUCGACGUGUUUGGUGAACGUGGGGCAGCGUGUCGAGGGCUCUAGGACCUCGUUAAACACCUAGAAACUUUUUAGAUGCCGAUAUUGACAUGGCUCUGGCUGCCUAAGGUUCUUCCUUAGUAGCCCGUCUCCUGGAUUGCCCGCUCGAGGCGGUCCUUGCAGGCGUCGAUAAUUCGAGCUGGUCCCCCGAUCAUGCUAUCGGGUUAGGGGACGAGAGUUUUAGAUAGCUGGUCUCGGAAUCGGUUGAUCGCUGGCCGUCCGAGGUGAGAUUUUCGGCGAUCUACGCACGUAGCGGCCCUUCUGGAUUCAUUCGCGGACGCGGGUUCGACUCCCGCCGCCUCCAUUC